rnacentral:piRNA from 7 species
CAGGGUUCAAGUCCCUGUUCGGGCG